AGUGUUUUUCAACAGCAUUUACUUUCCGGCCGUCACGUGUGCGUGUGUGGGUCAACCAUAUUGGAGCGGUACAGACUGCCGUAGAAAUGAAUGAACAACUUUGUUUCGCGUUAAGAACCAUCCAGGGUCAAGUUCCCUCUUUGUCAGCGACCACUUGGUACAAGUUCUGGAUGAGUGUCUUCUGUGCGAAGAGCUCGCUGCUGAGUGACGGUCCCGAGCUGGGCUGGCUUGGUGCGUUCUGCCUGGUGAGCUGACUUAGCAGCUCCAGCAUGCGACUCUUCUCCUUCUGACAUGGAAAAACCGAGAGGAACGACGUGGAUAUUAGUUUUUUUUUUGCUCACGGUCGACGUGCUCAUUCUUACCAAUAUAGCAUCCACAAGCUCGUCGUCGUGUUUGCUCUUCAGCAGCAGGGAGGAAUUCUGCGCUUUCAAGGUCUUUAUGUCAGCAGACAGACAUUUGUUCCUCGCUUUGGAGCUUUCCAGCUCUUUCCUCACCUGGUCACAGUCUUGCAGCAAGGCUUCAUAGCUAUCUGAGAGCCUCUGAAGAAGGAUGCACAAUGUCAUUACUUUUCUGUUGAAGGUGGGGAGGGGGGUAAUCACAACCCACCUGAAAAGCCUCCCUUUUUUUCUUCUCAGCGCUACGGCUAUAACCAACGUGUCGGCCUGGACUUUUAGUAGAACGCCAUGAUGGUUCUUCUUCGUCCAAGCUCAGCAUGUAUGAUGGAGGUGACCUCACCUGCUUCUCCAGGUCACGCACCUAUCACACACACAACUCAGUUUAGAGUACCUUAUUUUGUGGAGUGUAGCACUAGCUGAUACAUCAACAAAACAAAGACUUGUUUCAAUGUAUACGCUAGCUUUUUAGUCAACGGCCACAUAAUGUGAGCUCUUAUUCGCUCCUCACCCUUGAUUGAAGAGCCAGUAUGUGCUGCGCUCGUCCCCUAAAGCUUCCCGCACAGCUCAGUAACUGCUGAACGUUGACGUCUUCCCCAACCUCGCUUACGAGAACCUGCAGCAGAUGACAUCACCAACAAAUGAAGUUGCCUGCCAAAUGCGAUUGCAUUAGAUGAGAUGUUGUGCACCUUCUGAGCCACUUUUAACUCCUGCUUGAGAAACUGAACUUGGUUGCGAUACUCUGUCACUUUCAGCUGGGCACCGGAUAAUUUGUCCUUCAGGGACUUGACCUUUGGGUUGUUCUGUUUUUAUGGACAAUCAAUCUGUUAUUGUGAUUAGGAUGACAUGAGUGAACUAUAGAAAAUCAUAAGGAUUUACAGUGGAGCCUCUAAGUUGGCUAUCAGUUACUAAUGAUGUACAUGAAAUGUAUUCAGUAACGUUUGGUUUCAUUCUGUCAUGCCAAAUGUCCCACUAACAUGGAGUGAACUUGACCUCACAGUCGAGCUUUCCUGCAAUUUGGCAUCAACCUUUUGACCUGGUUCUGAGCGCACAGCAGCCUCUAGCUGUACCAAGAAAAAUGAAAUGAAUGACCAGUCAAUGUCAGGAUGAAAUUGAACCAAAUAGAAGACUCACGUCAUUCUCGAGUGCUUUGAUUCUAUUACUGUUUUGUUUGCAUUUUGUUCUUUCUCGUUCCACUUCAACAGUCAGUUCUCGAUUCUUUCUGGACAACUCCACGAUCUUGACGGCGGCUGCAUCGCUUGACAUACCUAAAAUGCCCAAAGUGAUCAACAUCUUGACUCAAGAUUCUUGAGAUUAAAAUAGAGAUGUAAAGGAAAGAGAAGGCGUUUUGAAGAGGCGAGCAUUGACAUCCGUCAGCUCCCUCAACUGGUCCAAUAAGCGCGGACGCUCAUCCCGUCCGAGUAUCCUGGAAGUGAUGAACAAAAAAAAAAAAAAACAAUGAAUGCAAAGUUGCGACAGUUCGUCUUUCAGACUUUCUCACCUGUCUGAUAUGUUGACCGCUGCAGCGCAUUGGCUCACCAAGUCCAAAUGCUCAUUGAGAAAGUCAGGCUUUGCUUUCAUUUUGUCCAUUUGCGGUUUUCCAUUUUCCUGAACCUCAAGAUUGCUAACUCCAUGUGCAUAGUCCAUCUGUGAUGCGUCUGUCGUAAGGACAAACAUAGGUGGUUGUAAAUUCAUUUUCCCACUAUUAACACUGUAGGAUAGGUUUCGAUCCAAAAAGCAAAGUUUAAACAAGUGUAAUAUAUACGUCGCCCACCUACCUUGAGAUUAAAUACCGCCUUCGUUUAGAACAGAAGCGGUUUUAAAUCUGGCGAAAAGUCCCUAAAUGAUUUCUUGUACCGCGACAGUUGUGUCCAUGGCAACGACGCCGGCUUCGGAUAUCGCGAGAACGAGAGGAACGCGUCAUGUCGGCUGUGCCUGGACAGCAGUAGAAUUUGAAAAAACUAAAUCAAGUUUUUAUUCCUAGUCAAUCAAAAGCUACACAGUGCCAUGAAAUGCUACACACAGUGUCUGAGCAGCCGAAAUUGAACAAAGCAAGAGGCAAAAGCUAAAAGUGAGAGUUCACAUAAGGAAUCAUUUACUUUUCAGUGACAUGGAAACGAAAUGACAAAUAUUGAAACAGCAUGUGUACACAUUUCAAAAUAUCUGUCACAUAAGGCCUUUAAGUGAUUGCAGCAUCGCUUUAAAUUGAAUUGGACCUGUGUCGAUGUAAAACGUGACACAUGAGGAUCAAAUAUUGAAUUCAGUCAAUGAAUAUCUCGGUCCAUUUUUUAAAACUCAUUUGAAGACCCAUUUGUUGAGCUCUAUUUGAAUGAAGUUGUAUUACUGUAUCCUAACUUUAAUGGCUAAACUACAUUACAUCUAUUUGCCAAUGUACCUAUUGCAUUUGAGUUGUACAGAUAUGAUUUGGCAUAAAAAUAAAACACAAAUCCAUGUAUAUUAACGAUGAUAUACCACACAAGACAAAUCAUCCAUCCAGGGUCGUGGGUGUGUCGGAGCCUAUCCCAACAACAGAGGGAAAGUUUUCUUUUUUUCCAAAACAGUCUUAGUUUAUCUACAUCCUAUAAAUAUAUUUUAACUAAUCCAAUACAACAACCCCAUACUAUUCAAAAUAAAACAAAAGUAAAUAAAUAUCCUCAAAUAAUCAAGAAUUAUAACUCCAAGCUGUGUAGAAGAUGGUGAUAGUUUUGACGUACAGUACUAUUGUCUUUAGAUAUUCAAAUCUUAUUUACUUGUGUAUAGGUGCAAUCUAU